UAUCAUCGACUCAGUACUGGUACCCCGUGUAUAAGCCAAGUUAUUACCUGGUACUUCCUGUUAUAACCUAGUUAUCAUCGACUCAGUACUGGUACCCCAUGUAUAUAGCCAAGUUAUUACCUGGUACUUCCUGUAUAUAACUAGUUAUCAUCGAAUCAGUACUGGUACCCCGUGUAUACAGCCCAGUCAUCGUUACUCAUUGUGAUUUCUUUUAAUUUUUUUUUACAUGUUAUACUUUUCUAUUGUGUCUAUUUCUUUCUCUUGCAUUGUUGGGAAAGGCCCUGAGUAAGUAAGCAUUUCACUGUUGGUCUACACCAACGCAUGUGACAAAUAAAAAGUGAUUUGAUUGACGGGGUUACUACUGGGUUGUCCGGGACAGCUGAGGGCUCUCCAGCUCCUCCAUCGUCCCUUCUUCUUUUUAGUUUCUUGACCAGAGAGUCCACAGCUUCUCUGCCCACUUCUCCUCUUCAUCCCCUUGUUUCAUCCCAGAAGCCUCUUCACUUCAGGGCUGGGUAAGGAGAAGAGGGAUGUGAUGGAGGUGGAGGAUGCAUGAUGAGGGAGGGAGGGUGCUUUGUAGAGAUGGAUGGAGGGAGGGAGGGGUGCUUUGUAGAGAUGGAGGGAGGGAGGGGGUGCUAUGUAGAGAUGGAGGGGGGAGGGUGCUAUGUAGUAUGGGGAUGGAGGAAGGGAGGGUGCUAUGUAGAGAUGGAGGAGGAGGGAGGGUGCUAUGUAGAGAUGGAUGGAGGAAGGGAGGGUGCUAUGUAGAGAUGGAUGGAGGGAGGGGGUGCUAUGUAGGAUGGAGGAAGGGAGGGUGCUAUGUAGAGAGGAUGGGGGAGGGGGGUGCUAUGUAGAGUGGAGGAAGGGAGGGUGCUAUGUAGAGAUGGGUGGAGGGGGGGAGGAGAACCACCACUUCGGGUGUGAUGAACGAGGGAUUGGGAAUGUGAUGAGAGGAGGUGAGAGGGGGGGGGGACAGGGAAAUAGAAGAGGAGCGUGAUGGAUGGAUUGUUUCCCAGAUGGCUAAAGGAGAGCAGGAACGAGGGAUCAGGGAUGGAGCUCGAAGAGGAGUGUGAGUUGUCUAUGUAAACAGAAACUGGGAUUCAUUAGUUCCGUUGGUGCUUCCUGAAGAGACCAGGAGUAGGGAGGAAGGUCUGGAAUGGAGGUGGGAAUGUUGGAAUAAUCCCAAAUAUCUUAUUUUUCUCUUUCUCCCUCUCUCUCUCAGCAGAAAUACAGUCUGGUCAGAAUGGUAGCCUCCGGUCAUGAAUGUUAUUCCUCGUGCAGGUCAGGUUUCAGUCAUCUGACCAGAGAAGAGAGAGAUGAAAUUAGGCGCUAAUUUAACAGAAACAAAGAGCUGUUCAGCAGGGCUGUGAGUCAUAUGAACCAGAGGUUAAAUACAACAGAAGACUUAGGAGAGAAUUAGGACUAGG
rnacentral:lncRNA from 1 species